rnacentral:rRNA from 1 species
AUUGAACGCUGGCGGCAUGCCUUACACAUGCAAGUCGAACGGUAACGCGGGGCAACCUGGCGACGAGUGGCGAACGGGUGAGUAAUAUAUCGGAACGUGCCCAAUAGUGGGGGAUAGCCCGGCGAAAGCCGGAUUAAUACCGCAUACGACCUGAGGGUGAAAGACGGGGGAGUCGCAAGACCUUGCGCUGAUUGAGCGGCCGAUAUCAGAUUAGCUAGUUGGUGAGGUAAAGGCUCACCAAGGCGACGAUCUGUAGCGGGUCUGAGAGGAUGAUCCGCCACACUGGGACUGAGACACGGCCCAGACUCCUACGGGAGGCAGCAGUGGGGAAUUUUGGACAAUGGGCGCAAGCCUGAUCCAGCCAUGCCGCGUGAGUGAUGAAGGCCUUAGGGUUGUAAAGCUCUUUUACCAGGGAUGAUAAUGACAGUACCUGGAGAAUAAGCUCCGGCUAACUCCGUGCCAGCAGCCGCGGUAAAUGCGACG